rnacentral:rRNA from 1 species
UCAAGCUAUAAAGAGCGCAAGGGGAAUGCCUUGGCAUCAGGAGCCGAUGAAGGACGUGACAAGCUGCGAUAAGCUUCGGGGAGCUGCAAAUGAGCUUUGAUCCGGAGAUUUCCGAAUGGGGAAACCCUCUGCAGUAAACCUGCAGAAACGUGCAUUGAAUCAAAUAGGUGUACGUGGGGAACCGCCUGAACUGAAACAUCUAAGUAGGGCGAGGAAAAGACAUCAACCGAGAUUCCGCUAGUAGUGGCGAGCGAACGCGGAGGAGGCCAAACCGAAGGUAGCAAUAUCUUCGGGGUUACGGACAGACAUCAUGAUUGAGGGACGCUAGACGAACGGCAUGGGAAGGCCGGCGACACAGUGUGAGAGCCACGUAGUCGAAAGCAGAACUUGACAGUCUGGAUCCAGAGUACCGCAGGACACGAGGAACCCUGUGGGAAGUCGGGGGGACCACCCUCCAAGCCUAAAUACUACCUGAUGACCGAUAGAGGAGCAGUACCGUGAGGGAAAGGUGAAAAGGACCCCGGGAGGGGAGUGAAAGAGAACCUGAAACCUUGUGCUUACAAGCAGUCAGAGCACGUUAAAGUGUGAUGGCGUACUUUUUGUAGAACGGUCCGGCGAGUUAUAGUAACGAGCAAGCUUAAGGUAUUCAGUACCGGAGGCGAAGCGAGAGCGAGUCUGAAUAGGGCGUAAAGUUCGUUGCCAUAGACCCGAAACCGGGUGACCUACCCAUGAGCAGGUUGAAGUGGGGGUGAAACCCCAUGGAGGACCGAACCGACCCCCGUUGCAAUGGUGGCGGAUGACUUGUGGAUAGCGGAGAAAUUCCAAUCGAACUCGGAGAUAGCUGGUUCUCCCCGAAAUAGCUUUAGGGCUAGCGUUGGCUUAGAUUACCGGAGGUAAAGCACUGAAUGGGCUAGGGGCCGAUAAGGUUACUGAACCCUAUCAAACUCUGAAUGCCGGAUAAUUGAUGGCCAGCAGUCAGUCUACGUGAGAUAAGUCUCGUGGACAAAAGGGAAACAGCCCAGACCCACAGCUAAGGUCCCAAAGAUACGCUAAGUGGAAAACGAUGUGGAGUUGCGAAAACAACCAGGAUGUUGGCUUAGAAGCAGCCACUCAUUAAAAGAGUGCGUAAUAGCUCACUGGUCGAGUGACUCUGCGCGGAAAAUAUAACGGGGCUAAGCACACAACCGAAGCUUGGGAUUGUCAAAAGACAGUGGUAGGGGAGCGUCGAAUACGGGGUGAAGUCGUAUCGGAAGGAACGGUGGACUGUAUUCGAGUGAGAAUGCCGGAAUGAGUAGCGAGAAUUAUGUGGGAAUCAUAAUGGCCGAAAAUCUAAGGUUUCUUGGGGAAGGUUCGUCCGCCCAAGGUAAGCCGGGAGCUAAGGCGAGGCCGCAAGGCGUAGUCGAUGCACAUACGGUUGAAAUUCCGUAGCCACCGAACCUUAAGUACACUGACACAUGGAGAUAGCGGGACCCGGGCGUUGGUUGACCCGGGCGUAAGGGACCGAAAUCAAGUAGGGAAGUCCGCGAUGCUCUGUGGCGAGAAAAGGCGAAGAUAAGGUGCCCGUACCGCAAACCGACACAGGUAGAUGAGGAGAGAAUCCUAAGGCCAACGGGAGAAGGGUUGUCAAGGAACUCGGCAAGUUGACCCCGUAACUUCGGAAGAAGGGGAGCCUCGAAAGAGGCCGCAGUGAAUAGGCCCAGGCAACUGUUUACCAAAAACACAGGUCUAUGCUAAAUCGAAAGAUGACGUAUAUGGGCUGACGCCUGCCCGGUGCCGGAAGGUUAAGAGGAGAUGUCAGGCAACGAAGCAUCGAAUUGAAGCCCCGGUAAACGGCGGCCGUAACUAUAACGGUCCUAAGGUAGCGAAAUUCCUUGUCAGGUAAG